AGGCUAGUACUGAUGCUAGCCAAAAUAUGAACUUAAAAAAAGAGGUUAGUACUGAGACUAACCGCAUUGAAGAACCUGAGCUCAAAAUUGGUAUUGAUGCUGGUUCUAAUCUGAGUGAGAGAAAUAAAGAGAAGAAGAGAGCAGAUAAGUUAUCUGAGAUAUAUAAACCUAGAAUCCCAUUUUCUUCUACUCUAGAAGCUGGUUCUUCCUGCAA
rnacentral:lncRNA from 1 species